rnacentral:rRNA from 1 species
GCCUGCCCAGUGACAAGAUUAAACGGCCGCGGUAUCCUGACCGUGUGAAGGUAGCAUAAUCACUUGUUCUUUAAAUGGGGACUAGUAUCAACGGCAUCACGAGGGUCCCACUGUCUCCCCCCUCCAAUCAGUGAAACUGAUCUCCCCGUGAAGAAGCGGGGAUAAGUAUAUUAGACGAGAAGACCCCAUGGAGCUUUAAACCCGACAGCACCCACUUAUUUAACACCUUCUUAUCCGCCUGGCCCCUGUCUGCUCGGUUUUGGGUUGGGGUGACCGCGGAGCAUAAAAUAGCCUCCACGAAAGAAGGGAUGAUUCCCUCAUUUUAGAACUACACUUCCAAAGACUAACAAAUUAAUUUUAAGUGAUCCGAUACCCGUAUUCGAUCAACGAACCAAGUUACCCUGGGGAUAACAGCGCAAUCUACCUCAAGAGCCCCUAUCGACAGGUGGGUUUACGACCUCGAUGUUGGAUCAGGGUAUCCCAGUGGUGCAGCAGCUACCAAAGGUUCGUUUGUUCAACGAUUAAAACCCU